rnacentral:rRNA from 1 species
GUCCACGCCGUAACGAUGAUCACUAGAUGUUAGUCCGGCUUAGCUGGAUUAGUAUCGUAGCUAACGCGUUAAGUGAUCCGCCUGGGGAGUACGGUCGCAAGGCUAAACUUAAAGAAUUGACGGGGUCCGGCACAAGCGGUGGAACAUGUGGUUUAAUUCGUCACUACGCGAGGAACCUUACCUGGACUUGACAUGUACGUGACAGCCGUAGAAAUACGGUCUUUUGGGUUUCGAUCCAAACAGGUACACAGGUGCUGCAUGGCUGUCGU